rnacentral:rRNA from 1 species
GACGAACGCUGGCGGCGUGCCUAAUACAUGCGAGUUGAGCGAUGAAGCUUGGUGCUUGCCCCAAUUUGAAGAGCAGCGAACGGGUGAGUAACGCGUGGGGAAUCUGCCUUUGAGCGGGGGACAACAUUUGGAAACGAAUGCUAAUACCGCAUAACAACUUUAAACAUAAGUUUUAAGUUUGAAAGGUGCAAUUGCAUCACUCAAAGAUGAUCCCGCGUUGUAUUAGCUAGUUGGUGAGGUAAAGGCUCACCAAGGCGAUGAUACAUAGCCGACCUGAGAGGGUGAUCGGCCACAUUGGGACUGAGACACGGCCCAAACUCCUACGGGAGGCAGCAGUAGGGAAUCUUCGGCAAGGGACGAAAGUCUGACCGAGCAACGCCGCGUGAGUGAAGAAGGGUGUCGGAUCGUAAAACUCUGUUGGUAGAGAAGAACGUUGGUGAGAGUGGAAAGCUCAUCAAGUGACGGUAACUACCCAGAAAGGGACGGCUAACUACGUG